rnacentral:lncRNA from 10 species
CCCCUGAGUAUUUGCAGAAGAGAAACAGAGGAACACGUUAUUAAAUCAUUCGAUCUCACCUGUCGUUUUUCAGCUGUUAUUGGUGGCUUGAGAAGGCACAUGUGCAUUCCCUUUUCAUCAGGGGAAUUUAAAGUCCAUGAAGCGGGAGACUGUCUUUUCUUUAAUCAGCUUCAGGCACCUGCUACACUUUGGGUCACAUGCGGAAUGUGCUGAUGAGGAGGAGAAUGGGGACUUCUGUGGGAAGCUGUGGAAAUUUCCGACAACUUUAAUAGCAGGAUCAAUACCUCGGCAACUGGGAGCAAGAGAAGGAACCAGAAGAACCUGGAGAAUCAUUUCCGCCUCCUGAUUUGUGAGCUAACAGAGGGCUGGAGGUGGAUUCAAGCUCAACCAUAGAUAGAUGUUCUCCCGCCUGGUAUUUUCUAUAUAUUUAAAUCUUCCUGCUAACACAAAGUACAGUGCAGAUGCCUUUCACUUUGUGUGACAGCUCUGUUUCUGGGCAUUUCUAUGUAAAUUGAGCCCUUGUACUGUAAAUGGGCUCAUUUAACAUACAGCUGGGCAGCUCUCAGUUCAAAGGAACCCUGGAGCGAAUCCUUUUGAAAGCAAGGGACCUUCUGUGACUUAGGCUGGAUAUGUGGUUACAGAUGGCAGCUAAGGAGCCAGAGUUGACAUAGUCUCACAGUGUCACC